AGGAUAAACGCUGGCGGCGUGCCUAACACAUGCAAGUCGAACGUCCUACGCAAGUAGGGAGUGGCGGACGGGUGAGUAACACGUGGGCAAUCUACCUUUCGGUGAGGAAUACCGGCGAGAAAUCGCCGACAAUACCGCAUACGCUUCGCAAGAAGCAAAGUCGCAAGACGCCGGAGGAGGAGCCUGCGCCCGAUUAGCUGGUUGGUGGAGUAAUGGUCUACCAAGGCGACGAUCGGUAGCUGGUCUGAGAGGAUGAUCAGCCACACUGGGAUUGAGAACGGCCCAGACUCCUACGGGGGGCAGCAGUGAGGAAUUUUCGUCAAUGGGGGAAACCCUGAACGAGCAACGCCGCGUGCAGGAAGGCACUUUUCGGAGUGUAAACUGCUUUUCUAGGGACGAGUAAGGACGGUACCUAAGGAAUAAGCCCCGGCUAACUACGUGCCAGCAGCCGC
rnacentral:rRNA from 1 species